rnacentral:lncRNA from 1 species
ACACUUUCAACAAGCGGAAGCUUUAGUCUGUUUCAAUCUCUUACAGUACAAAUAAACUACUAAUAUAUUAGACAGCAGCAUAUCAUAUAGUAUUGAACCGAUUCACGCGAUUUUCAAAAUUCUGAUCUUUUUAAAUAUUAUAGACACCGGUCGAAUCAAGUUUUUUUUUUUUAAUAAAUUAUUUACGUUUGCUUCUCUAGAUGAUUCACAAUUCGUAAGCUACCAAAUAAAUCAAAUAUGUAUGACUACCCGCUUAAAAUCUCUCUCUCUGUUCUCUCUCUAAAAAUCUUUCACAGAGAGUGUGAGUGUUUCUUCUUUUGAUGUAAAAAUUCCGAUUAACAUCGGAUAUCUUUCCGGUUUAAUCCGGAGUUAAUAAUUUCUAACUUUUGGAUUUCAUCUCCGACUGUGUUCGGCUUUUCUCUAAUUAGUUUAGUUUAGUUUGUAUUAAUCCUUUUGCAGCUCUUUCAUCUUCUUCCAUCGGAGGAGAUAAACGCCAUGUAUUGCUCGGAGACUCUGCUUUCGCCAAUCUGCUCGAUUCCUAGUAUCAGGAGAGUAAAUUCCUUCAUACCCCCUAUUGGGGCCGUAAAAUCGGCUUUGUAUGAAGGUUUCUUCGCAUGCAAAAGAAUCGUGUUUAUGAAGAUCGUUGGUGGGUUUAGAACGGAACAGGAGAGCAAAGUUGCUCUGAUCUCUAGCCUUGCCGUGACUUCUUGUACUUCAAAAAUCAGAUAGCUUGUGAGUCUUUGUUCUAAACACUUGGUAAUUUACGCAGAAGGAUGAGGUGGUGUGAUCGUGAAUCAAGCGGCUGCCUUUGCUGGAUGUUGUUGCCGGAGGAUAAUGAAUUUCCCCGAUUCCGGUGAAGCUUGCCGUGCUUGAGUCGGUUGUGUUUCCAACCCAACUUGUUUGCAAACACGUGUUUAUACACAUGUCUCUUUACUGCUUUGCUUAGACCAUCCACAACGCAGUAUCAACCGAGUUCAUCAGCGGGGCCCAACGUAAUAUUUUUGAUUUGUUUUA